UACGUAGGGUGCAAGCGUUAAUCGGAAUUACUGGGCGUAAAGCGUGCGCAGGCGGUGAUGUAGACAGGUGUUAAAUCCCCGGGCUUAACCUGGGAACUGCAUUUGUGACUGCAUCGCUGGAGUGCGGCAGAGGGGGAUGGAAUUCCGCGUGUAGCAGUGAAAUGCGUAGAUAUGCGGAGGAACACCGAUGGCGAAGGCAAUCCCCUGGGCCUGCACUGACGCUCAUGCACGAAAGCGUGGGGAGCAAACAGG
rnacentral:rRNA from 1 species